ACGUAAUAGAUACCCCGGUAGUCCAUGCCGUAAACGUUGGGCACUAGGUGUGGGGGACAUUCCACGUUUUCCGCGCCGUAGCUAAACGCAUUAAAGUGCCCCGCCUGGGGAGUACGGCCGCAAGGCUAAAACUCAAAGGAAUUGACGGGGGCCCGCACAAGCGGCGGAGCAUGCGGAUUAAUUCGAUGCAACGCGAAGAACCUUACCAAGGCUUGACAUGAACCGGAAAGACCUGGAAACAGGUCCCCCACUUGUGGUCGGUUUACAGGUGGUGCAUGGUUGUCGUCAGCUCGUGUCGUGAGAUGUUGGGUUAAGUCCCGCAACGAGCGCAACCCUCGUUCUAUGUUGCCAGCACGUGAUGGUGGGGACUCAUAGGAGACUGCCGGGGUCAACUCGGAGGAAGGUGGGGACGACGUCAAAUCAUCAUGCCCCUUAUGUCUUGGGCUUCACGCAUGCUACAAUGGCCGGUACAAAGGGUUGCGAUACUGUGAGGUGGAGCUAAUCCCAAAAAGCCGGUCUCAGUUCGGAUU
rnacentral:rRNA from 1 species